rnacentral:miRNA from 1 species
CCUGCUGCUGUAUCCCACAGGGU